GUGCUCGCUUCGGCAGCACAUAUACUAAAAAGAGUAAUUAUAUAGAGA
rnacentral:snRNA from 1 species